rnacentral:rRNA from 1 species
GACGCACCGCUGGUGUACCAGUUGUUCUGCCAAGGGCAUCGCUGGGUAGCUAUGUGCGGACGGGAUAAGUGCUGAAAGCAUCUAAGCAUGAAACCCCCCUCAAGAUGAGAUUUCCCAUUCCUAUAAGGAAGUAAGAUCCCUGAAAGAUGAUCAGGUUGAUAGGUCUGAGGUGGAAGUGUGGCGACACAUGGAGCUGACAGAUACUAAUCGAUCGAGGACUUAACCUA